rnacentral:rRNA from 1 species
UACGUAGGGAGCAAGCGUUGUCCGGAAUCAUUGGGCGUAAAGCGUGCGUAGGCGGCCCUGUAAGUCCGUUGUGAAAGUCAAAGGCUCAACCUUUGAAAGCCGAUGGAUACUGCAGGGCUAGAGUUCGGAAGAGGCGAGUGGAAUUCCUGGUGUAGCGGUGGAAUGCGCAGAUAUCAGGAGGAACACCAAUAGCGAAGGCAGCUCGCUGGGACGAUACUGACGCUAAGGCGCGAAAGCGUGGGGAGCGAACAGG